rnacentral:rRNA from 1 species
GAUGAACGCUGGCGGCGUGCCUAAUACAUGCAAGUCGAGCGAACGGACGAGAAGCUUGCUUCUCUGAUGUUAGCGGCGGACGGGUGAGUAACACGUGGAUAACCUACCUAUAAGACUGGGAUAACUUCGGGAAACCGGAGCUAAUACCGGAUAAUAUUUUGAACCGCAUGGUUCAACAGUGAAAGACGGUCUUGCUGUCCCUUAUAGAUGGAUCCGCGCUGCAUUAGCUAGUUGGUAAGGUAACGGCUUACCAAGGCAACGAUGCAUAGCCGAACUGAGAGGGUGAUCGGCCACACUGGAACUGAGACACGGUCCAGACUCCUACGGGAGGCAGCAGUAGGGAAUCUUCCGCAAUGGGCGAAAGCCUGACGGAGCAACGCCGCGUGAGUGAUGAAGGUCUUCGGAUCGUAAAGCUCUGUUAUUAGGGAGGAACAUAUGUGUAAGUAACUGUGCACAUCUUGACGGUACCUAAUCAGAAAGCCACGGCUAACUACGUG